rnacentral:rRNA from 1 species
CGCAUAGGCGGGCUGUCAAGUCCGGGGUGAAAUCUUUCGGCUCAACCGGAAAAGUGCCUUGGAUACUGACGGUCUCGAGGGAGGUAGGGGUAUGUGGAACUUCCGGUGGAGCGGUGAAAUGCGUUGAUAUCGGAAGGAACGCCGGUGGCGAAAGCGACGUACUGGACCUCUUCUGACGCUGAGGCGCGAAAGCCAGGGGAGCGAACGGGAUUAGAUACCCCGGUAGUCCUGGCCCUAAACGAUGGGUACUAGAUUGUAGACUUGAUAUGGGUUUACAGUCGAAGCAAAAGUGGUAAGUACCCCGCCUGGGGAGUAUGGUCGCAAGGCUGAA